AUCGAACGCUGGCGGCAGGCCUAACACAUGCAAGUCGAGCGAGCGGCGGUCGGGUGAGUAAUGUAUGGGGACUGCCCGAUAGAGGGGGAUAACUACUGGAAAUGGUGGCUAAUACCGAAUACUACCGGAUAACACAUAUGGGAUUAGCUAGAAGGUGGGGAAAAGGCUCACAUGGGAGACGCUCUCUAGCUGGUCUGAGAGGAUGAUCGGCCACACGGGAACUGGGAAACGGCCCGGACUCCUACGGAGGCGGCAGUGGGAAAUAUUGCACAAUGGGGGCAAGCCUGAUGCAGCCAUGCCGCGUGUAUGAAGAGGGCCUUAGAGUUGUAAAGUACUUUGAGCGGGGAGGCGUUACCCGCAGAAGAAGCACCGGCUAACUCCGUGCCAGCAGCCGCGGUAAUAC
rnacentral:rRNA from 1 species